AGAGUUUGAUCCUGGCUCAGGAUGAACGCUAGCUACAGGCUUAACACAUGCAAGUCGAGGGGCAGCAUGAACUUAGCUUGCUAAGUUUGAUGGCGACCGGCGCACGGGUGAGUAACACGUAUCCAACCUGCCGAUGACUCGGGGAUAGCCUUUCGAAAGAAAGAUUAAUACCCGAUGGCAUAGUUCUUCCGCAUGGUGGAACUAUUAAAGAAUUUCGGUCAUCGAUGGGGAUGCGUUCCAUUAGGUUGUUGGCGGGGUAACGGCCCACCAAGCCUUCGAUGGAUAGGGGUUCUGAGAGGAAGGUCCCCCACAUUGGAACUGAGACACGGUCCAAACUCCUACGGGAGGCAGCAGUGAGGAAUAUUGGUCAAUGGACGAGAGUCUGAACCAGCCAAGUAGCGUGAAGGAUGACUGCCCUAUGGGUUGUAAACUUCUUUUAUACGGGAAUAAAGUGAGGCACGUGUGCCUUUUUGUAUGUACCGUAUGAAUAAGGAUCGGCUAACUCCGUGCCAGCAGCCGCGGUAAUACGGAGGAUCCGAGCGUUAUCCGGAUUUAUUGGGUUUAAAGGGAGCGUAGGCGGACGCUUAAGUCAGUUGUGAAAGUUUGCGGCUCAACCGUAAAAUUGCAGUUGAUACUGGGUGUCUUGAGUACAGUAGAGGCAGGCGGAAUUCGUGGUGUAGCGGUGAAAUGCUUAGAUAUCACGAAGAACUCCGAUUGCGAAGGCAGCCUGCUGGACUGUAACUGACGCUGAUGCUCGAAAGUGUGGGUAUCAAACAGGAUUAGAUACCCUGGUAGUCCACACAGUAAACGAUGAAUACUCGCUGUUUGCGAUAUACAGUAAGCGGCCAAGCGAAAGCGUUAAGUAUUCCACCUGGGGAGUACGCCGGCAACGGUGAAACU
rnacentral:rRNA from 1 species